rnacentral:rRNA from 1 species
CCUACGGGCGGCAGCAGUGAGGAAUAUUGGUCAAUGGACGAGAGUCUGAACCAGCCAAGUAGCGUGAAGGAUGACUGCCCUAUGGGUUGUAAACUUCUUUUAUAAAGGAAUAAAACGAGGCACGUGUGCCUUUUUGCAUGUACUUUAUGAAUAAGGAUCGGCUAACUCCGUGCCAGCAGCCGCGGUAAUACGGAGGAUCCGAGCGUUAUCCGGAUUUAGUGGGUUUAAAGGGAGCGUAGAUGGGUUGUUAAGUCAGUUGUGAAAGUUUGCGGCUUAACCGUAAAAUUGCAAUUGAUACUGGCAGUCUUGAGUACAGUUGAGGUAGGCGGAAUUCGUGGUGUAGCGGUGAAAUGCUUAGAUAUCACGAAGAACCCCGAUUGCGAAGGCAGCUUACUAAACUGUGACUGACAUUGAUGCUCGAAAGUGUGGGUAUCAAACAGGAUUAGAUACCCUUGUAGUC